rnacentral:hammerhead_ribozyme from 1 species
ACAUUGCUGAGGAGUCUCACAACGAGACGAAACGGCCGUCCAGUGC